AUACUGGUUUCUGUUGUUCUCAGAGACACACUGGGACCUUUCACAUCUCACUGUCACUUCUUGGAAGGGCUCUCUACCUCGUCUGCCUGCUGAGCAACCUCUUGGGGAGACACGGGCCCUCUUGAGUCACUGAACUUGAGCUAUUUGGUGUUGAUGUUGGAAUUUCUGAUGAAUCUGCAGUCAGUCUCUCUCCUUGGGUGUCUGAGUGCCUAUGAAAAUUUUUAAGGGAUUGCUAGUUUAUGUGGACCUGAAUAAGCAUUUUGCAUGAACUGUGUGUGGAUUCAUUGCCUACAUUGGAUGAUGAAGACUUGAGUGUUGCUACUAAGCAGUGUGUCCCCAAGAAAGUGUCAGAGCCUUUACGUGGACCUUCUCAUGAAAAAGGAAACAGAAUAGUCAAUGGAAAAGGAAAAGGGCCUCCUGCAAAACAUCCUUCCUUGAAGCCUAGCACUGAAGUGGAAGAUCCUGCUGUGAAAGGAGCAGUACAAAGAAAGUAUGUACAGACAUUGAGAGCAG
rnacentral:lncRNA from 1 species